rnacentral:rRNA from 1 species
UCGAGAAUUUUUCACAAUGGGCGCAAGCCUGAUGGAGCGACGCCGCGUGGGGGAUGAAUGGCUUCGGCCCGUAAACCCCUGUCAUUUGCGAUCAAACCUUGCUAUUUAAAAGAUGGCGAGCUGAUAGUAGCGAAAGAGGAAGGGGCGGCUAACUCUGUGCCAGCAGCCGCGGUAAUACAGAGGUCCCAAGCGUUGUUCGGAUUCGCUGGGCGUAAAGGGUGCGUAGGUGGUGGGGUAAGUCGGAUGUGAAAUCUCGGAGCUCAACUCCGAAAUGGCAUUGGAAACUACCCUGCUAGAGGGUCGGAGGGGGGACUGGAAUUCUCGGUGUAGCAGUGAAAUGCGUAGAUAUCGAGAGGAACACCAGUGGCGAAGGCGAGUCCCUGGGCGACUCCUGACACUGAGGCACGAAAGCUAGGGGAGCAAACA